CGUGUAGGCGGCUUGGUAAGUCGGAUGUGAAAGUCCCGGGCUCAACCCGGGAAGUGCAUUCGAAACUGCUAGGCUUGAGUAAGAGAGAGGAAAGUGGAAUUCCUGGUGUAGAGGUGAAAUUCGUAGAUAUCAGGAGGAACACCGGUGGCGAAGGCGGCUUUCUGGCUCUAUACUGACGCUGAGACGCGAAAGCGUGGGUAGCAAACAGGAUUAGAUACCCUGGUAGUCC
rnacentral:rRNA from 1 species